GAGGCUAGGAGGGCAAACCCUGGAGGGGGAUGGGAGACCUUCUUUGGCGGCUGACCAGCUGUGUGACCUUUGAGCAAACCACUGUCCCUGUUGACAUUUUGAAUAGUGCUCUGCAGCUGGACGGAGAUGCUCUCCCUGAACCCCAGUCUCCCCAGUUAUACAAGUCCCCAAAGGUGGCUCCACCUUCAGUGCUCAGCAGCCCCUCCUGGAAUCCUCAAGCUCUCAGAUUUCACCGGAGACAGUGCUUGACUUCCCAUUCGCCCUUAAGCUGCACAAGUGGGUGCUUGUGCCCACGCGGAUGCACCCACGCCACCUGAAGGGAGUCUUGGCCCCCGCCUGGCUGGCCUGUCCCAGAGUCUGCCUGAAGUUGGACCCCGCUGCCUGUAGUUUGGGGCUCAGGGACACCGAAGUACCGCUGGCCAGCAGACCCCACAAAGAGGACGUGAGCAAUGACGCAUCCCAGGCUGCCUGCUCUGUGGGUUUGAUACAAGACUGGCGGGGACUAGAAUAGACUUUCUUGUCACUUCAUAGCCUCGGUUCACUAUUUUCCUUUUAAAAUUAAAUAUUCGGAGAAUAUUAACAAAACCAAAACAUGCAAGCAAAAAAUAAAGACAAUUUCCCCAGG
rnacentral:lncRNA from 1 species